GCGGAGGAAAAGAAACCAACAGGGAUUGCCCUAGUAACGGCGAGUGAAGCGGCAACAGCUCAAAUUUGAAAUCUGGCGUCUUUGGCGUCCGAGUUGUAAUUUGCAGAGGGCGCUUUGGCAUUGGCAGCGGUCCAAGUUCCUUGGAACAGGACGUCACAGAGGGUGAGAAUCCCGUACGUGGUCGCUAGCCUUUACCGUGUAAAGCCCCUUCGACGAGUCGAGUUGUUUGGGAAUGCAGCUCUAAAUGGGAGGUAAAUUUCUUCUAAAGCUAAAUACUGGCCAGAGACCGAUAGCGCACAAGUAGAGUGAUCGAAAGAUGAAAAGCACUUUGGAAAGAGAGUUAAAAAGCACGUGAAAUUGUUGAAAGGGAAGCGCUUGCAGCCAGACUUGCCUGUAGUUGCUCAUCCGGGUUUCUACCCGGUGCACUCUUCUAUAGGCAGGCCAGCAUCAGUUUGGGCGGUUGGAUAAAGGUCUCUGUCAUGUACCUCCUUUCGGGGAGAACUUAUAGGGGAGACGACAUGCAACCAGCCUGGACUGAGGUCCGCGCAUCUGCUAGGAUGCUGGCGUAAUGGCUGUAAGCGGCCCGUCUUGAAACACGGACCAAGGAGUCUAACAUCUAUGCGAGUGUUUGGGUGUCAAGCCCGAGCGCGUAAUGAAAGUGAACGGAGGUGGGAACCUUUCGGGGUGCACCAUCGACCGAUCCUGAUGUCUUCGGAUGGAUUUGAGUAAGAGCAUAGCUGUUGGGACCCGAAAGAUGGUGAACUAUGCUUGAAUAGGGUGAAGCCAGAGGAAACUCUGGUGGAGGCUCGCAGCGGUUCUGACGUGCAAAUCGAUCGUCAAAUUUGGGCAUAGGGGC
rnacentral:misc_RNA from 1 species